ensembl:snRNA U6 U6 spliceosomal RNA
GUGCUUGCUUCAGCAGCACAUAUACUAAAACUGGAAUAACACAGAGAUUAUCAUGGCCCCUGCACAAGGAUGACAUGCAAAUCCAUGAAGUGUUCAGUAUUUUU